rnacentral:rRNA from 1 species
AUUGAACGCUGGCGGCAUGCUUUACACAUGCAAGUCGAACGGUAACAGGUUAAGCUGACGAGUGGCGAACGGGUGAGUAAUGCAUCGGAACGUGCCCGAUCGUGGGGGAUAACACUUCGAAAGAAGUGCUAAUACCGCAUACGAUCUGAGGAUGAAAGCGGGGGACCGUAAGGCCUCGCGCGAUCGGAGCGGCCGAUGGCAGAUUAGGUAGUUGGUGGGGUAAAGGCGCACCAAGCCGACGAUCUGUAGCUGGUCUGAGAGGACGACCAGCCACACUGGGACUGAGACACGGCCCAGACUCCUACGGGAGGCAGCAGUGGGGAAUUUUGGACAAUGGGCGCAAGCCUGAUCCAGCAAUGCCGCGUGCAGGAAGAAGGCCUUCGGGUUGUAAACUGCUUUUGUACGGAGCGAAAAGGCUCCCUCUAAUACAGGGGGCUCAUGACGGUACCGUAAGAAUAAGCACCGGCUAACUACGUGCCAGCCGCCGCCGUAA